rnacentral:rRNA from 1 species
AAUUGUGGUUAUUACGGUUGAUGGUGGAUGCCUUGGAAGGCUGGGGCGAUGAAGGACGUGGUGUGACUGCGAUAAGCCUCGGGGAGGUGUCAAGCAACCUUUGAUCCGGGGAUGUCCGAAUGGGGAAACCCAAUCCCGCCUAAAACGGGAUUGCCCUUAACCUGAAACGGUUGAGGGCGCGUACCCGGGGAAGCAAAACAUUCUAGUACCCGGAGGAAAAUAGAACAAUAGUUUAUUCCCUUAGUAGCGGCGAGUGAAAAGGGAAGUAGCCUAGAGCCCUUCGAUUCGACGCUGUGCGUCUCUCUCAGGGUAAACCUAUUUAAAAAUAGAGGGUUUACCCCGAGCGAGGUGCUUAGCACCGAGUCGAGGGGCAGUUAAAAGAGGGUGACGCCCAGAAAUUUUUUCUGGAAAGUUUCAGAAAAAAUUUACUGGAAGGAGUAAGAAAAUUGAUUGUUAGCCGAAAUCCCCUGGAAAGGGAUACUAAAGAGGGUAAUAGUCCCGUAGGCGAAAACAAUUAAUCUCCUAGUCUCUUUCCCGCUUUCAGCGGGAGGUGUCGCAAGACACAUUCUUAAGUACUAUGGGACACGGAAAUCCCGUAGGAAGUAGGGUCGACUACAGACCCAAGGCUAAAUACUCAGCCUUACCGAUAGUGAACUAGUACCGUGAGGGAAAGGUGAAAAGUAGGGCGGUAAGCCCGGUGAAAUAGAACCUGAAACCAUCAAACCUACAAAGAGUCGGAGCCGUCCUUCGCUUUUUGCUUCGCAAAAAGCUUCGGAUCGGUAAACCCUAUUGAAAGGGGCUUGCCAUUCCGUAGCUCAUUACGAAGUAAUGAGCGAAGGAUGGUGACGGCGUACUUUUUGGAGAACGAGCCAACGAGUUCUCUCUCGUGCUUUUGUCUAACCCCGUUUAACGGGGGGAGGCAUAGUGAAAGCGAGCGUGAAAUACGCGACAUAAAAAGCUCGAGAGUGAGACCCGAAGCCAAGCGAGCUUGCCAUGACCAGGGUGAAUCCCGCUGAAAAGCGGGAGGAGGCCCGAACCCGUGAGCCGUGCAAUACUCUGGGAUGAGUUGUGGCAAGAAGAGAAAACCUAAACGAGCUUGGUAAUAGCUGGUUCUUCCCGAAAUAGCUUUAGGACUAGCCUCCGUAAAAUAAUAUCUUGGGGGUAGAGCACUGAAUGAAAUACCGUGGAUUUUUUCCAGGCAUUUUAAUCAAACUCCGAAUACCAAGAUAUUUAGGGGAGUAAGAACCUGGGCGCUAAGGUCCAGGCUCAAAAGGGAAACAGCCCAGACCUUCAUCUAAGGUCCCUAAAUUUGAGCUAAGUGCUAGGAAGGAAGUGAAGUUCCGUCGAUAGUCAGGAGGUGAGCUUAGAAGCAGCUACCCUUUAAAAAGUGCGUAACAGCUUACUGACUAAGGGAUUUUGCACCAAAGAUCAACGGGGCUAAAGCUCAAUACCGAAGAUAAGGACGAGCACAUAAUUUUUUAUGUGCUCGUGGUAGGGAAGCGUUCCCAUUGCUGUGAAGUCCAGCUGUAAAGCGGGAUGGAGCGAUGGGAAGUGAGAAUGUUGGCAUGAGUAACCGCAAUCAAGGUGAAACUCCUUGACACCGAAAGCCUAAGAUUUCCUUGGCAAUGAUCGUCAGCCAGGGGUUAGGCGGGCCUAAUCCUGCCGCCGAAUGGUGGUGGGAAAUGGACAGCCGGUUAAUAUUCCGGCCCUCUCUGUAUCAAUUCCAGAGACCGACGAAGCUUAGUAAUCCGGACGAGUUAUUGGAUUCUCGUUGUUUGUCUUAAGAUUUAUCAAGGGCAAACAAAAUUCUCUGGUUCGCCAGGGCAAAUCUGGACGAGCAAGCUUCCCAGAAAAAGUUUUUGGAAGUUAAUUGGUAUGGGGACCCGUAUCGUAAACCGACACAGGUAGGCAGGUGUAAGUACACUAAGGUGAACGGGUGAAAGCUCCUGAAGGAACUCGGCAAAAAAGCGGUCGUAAGUUCGCAAUAUGACCUUCCCCCACCACUUUGUCUUUAAUUCUACGAAAAACCAAAAAUUCUGGUUAAUCGUGAAAAAUUGAGGCCAAAGUGGUGGGGGACGCAGCUAAAGAUUUCUUGGCGACUGUUUAUCAAAAACACAGGUUCCUGCUAACUCGUAAGAGGAUGUAUAGGAACUGAGGCCUGACCAGUGCUGGAACGUCAAUGGUGAGGGUCUGGGUAUAUUUAUAUAUUCAGGCUCAUUACCUGAAGCGCCAGUGAACGUCCGCGGUAACUCUGACCGUGUUAAAGUAGCGUAACCCCUUGUCAGGUAAGUUCUGACCCGCAUGAAAGGUUUCACGACUAAGAAACUGUCUCCAGGAGCAGCCCGGUGAAAAUGCAGUAUGGGUGAAGAUGCCCAUUACCUGCGGCUAGACGGAAAGACCCCGAGAGCUUUACUAUAAGGUGGUAUUGAGUUUUGGGUUUUGAUGCGUAGCGUAGCGGGUAGGCUUUGAAGUUCCGCUUUUGGGCGGGAUGGAGCCGACAAUGAAACACCCGUCUUUUAAACUCUUAAUUCUAACUCCCGCUAAGCGGGAAGACCGUGCCACCCGGGUAGUUUAAGUGGGGCACUUGCCUCAUAAAAGGUAAUUGAGGCGUUUAAAGGUCGGCUAGCUCCGGAUGGAAAUCGGAGCGAUAGGGCAAAGCCAUAAGCCGGCUUUACUGCAAGGCGGACAUGCCGCGCAGUUGGGAAACCAGAACUUAGUGAACCGAUCGUGUAUCCGUCAGAUUUUUGUUUUACAAAAUUCUGAUGGAUGUAGUUAGUAGAACCGCGAAAGAUCAUCGGACAAAAGUUACCUCGGGGAUAACAGGCUAGUAGGGCCCGCGAGUCCACAUCUACGGCCCUGUUCGGCACCUUAACAAAUCGGGGUGCUAUGCCAGUAAUGGCAUACCUGGAAUAUUUUACCCACAAAAUA